rnacentral:rRNA from 1 species
GAGGGGUGCAAACGUUAUUCGUAUUAACUGGGCGUAAAGAGUGUGUAGACGGAACAUUAAGUUCGCUGUUAAAUCUUUCGGCUUAACCGAAAGCUUGCGGUGAAAACUAAUGAUCUUGAGGGUGAAAGAGAGAAGUGGAAUUCUCGGAGUAGCGGUAAAAUGCGUAGAUCUCGAGAGGAACACCGAUGGCGAAGGCAGCUUCUUGGUUCACUUCUGACGUUGAGACACGAAAGCGUGGGUAGCAAACAGGAUUAGAUACCCUGGUAGUCCACGCCGUAAACGAUGAUCACUGGAUGUCAGCUUUGCUUAGCAGGGUUGGUAUCGAAGCUAACGCGUUAAGUGAUCCGCCUGGGAAUUACGGUCGCAAGAUUA